AGCAGAGCCGGCAUCUAGGUGGACCACUCCAUGCUCGGCACGACAUCCUAAGAAGCCCCUGCUUGCCUGUGGAGCACGCCUGCAGUCACACCCAAACCAGGGCAGCCUCUCCCGGAGGGCAGGGCCAGGAUAGGGUGAGUGAAUGAGGCAUCUCGGGUGCAAAACAUAAAGAGGUACAGCCCGGAGACGUGAACCCUGGUCGUCUCACUCUUCUUACCCUGGCCUGGAUCCUGCCAGAGAGGAGCUGGGCCAAUUGAUCGUCGCCCUGGGAGGAAGAAGCCACCCUAUUGUACAAAGGUUCUUGUUCCUGGAGCUAACUCUGUAAAUACAGAAAGAAUACUCAACAGUAGCCGCCUUGAAAGCUACUCAGUUACCCACGGAGACAGCAGGGGUCCACUGUGGGUCUGCCUGCUCCCAGGGCACCGCCUUCCAAAAUGAACCCAUCUGCCUUGGCCUAAGAGGAAUGUGACCGGUAAACCUGCUCCGAGAAAACAGCUGUUAGAGAGUGUGUCCCCUGGGGCACUGCCCUUUUCCCUCAGAAAGGCCAGCUGCCUUUCAUUCCAAGCAACCAAAGUGUUCCCGCCAUACCAGCAAAGCACACGUCCCCACCCUGGCGAGAGGGCUGGCGUGAGCUGCCUCCACCAGACUGCCACAUGCAACCCUGCCCUUAGUGUGGACUUCCGAAUACUGAUAGCCUUUCCUUCCAUCUCUCCCACCCGAGAGGAAGAGGAAAGAAUGCUGCUGUCCUUUCAAUGAGCUUAGAGCCACAUUCCAGGGCCCACUCCAGCAUUCCUCCUGUGAUCCCUGAGGAGGCAGGCAAAGGAUGCUGUUCUUGGUCACUUGUGGACAUUCAACAUCGUGGCCCAGCAGGAGACUGCGCGGGCCCUGGGUCAGAUGUUGGGGGUGUGGGCUCUGGAGUCAGAUCACCUAUGUUGAAUGCACAGAGCUGACAGUCACCCUCAAAAAAAAAAAAAAAAAAAGAGCAGCCAAUAGUAGUUCCCCUCCCAUUGACUUGUUAAUAAGGGUGAGAUAUGCUAGUGCUUGCAGCGCAGCACAGCAGAUAGUAAGUGUUCAAUAAACGUUAGCACUUCUUAUUCUAAAUGAGAGAUCAUCCACGGGUGAUGAAUUUUUCCUGCA